rnacentral:rRNA from 1 species
GACGGGGGAUGCAAGCGUUAUCCGGAAUCACUGGGCGUAAAGCGUCUGUAGGUGGUGAUGCAAGUCACUGGUGCAAAACUCUGGCUCAACCGGAGGAAAGCCAGUGAAACUGCAUGACUAGAGUGUGGGAGAGGGAGAAGGAAUUCCCUGAGUAGCGGUGAAAUGCGUGGAUACAGGGAAGAACACCGGAGGCGAAAGCGUUCUACUGGAACACAACUGACACUGAGAGACGAAAGCUAGGGGAGCUAAUGGG